CGGGGUGGAGUAAUGUCUGGGAAACGUGCCUGAUGAGGGGGGAUAACUGCUGGAAACGGUAGCUAAUACCGCAUAACGUCGCAAGACCAAAGAGGGGGACCUUCGGGCCUCUUGCCAUCGGAUGUGCCCAGAUGGGAUUAGCUAGUAGGUGGGGUAACGGCUCACCUAGGCGACGAUCCCUAGCUGGUCUGAGAGGAUGACCAGCCACACUGGAACUGAGACACGGUCCAG
rnacentral:rRNA from 1 species